rnacentral:rRNA from 1 species
AGUGAACGCUGGCGGUAGGCCUAACACAUGCAAGUCGAACGGCAGCACAGUGAGAGCUUGCUCUUACGGGUGGCGAGUGGCGGACGGGUGAGGAAUACAUCGGAAUCUACUUUUUCGUGGGGGAUAACGUAGGGAAACUUACGCUAAUACCGCAUACGACCUACGGGUGAAAGCAGGGGAUCUUCGGACCUUGCGCGAUUGAAUGAGCCGAUGUCGGAUUAGCUAGUUGGCGGGGUAAAGGCCCACCAAGGCGACGAUCCGUAGCUGGUCUGAGAGGAUGAUCAGCCACACUGGAACUGAGACACGGUCCAGACUCCUGCGGGAGGCAGCAGUGGGGAAUAUUGGACAAUGGGCGCAAGCCUGAUCCAGCCAUACCGCGUGGGUGAAGAAGGCCUUCGGGUUGUAAAGCCCUUUUGUUGGGAAAGAAAAGCAGCAGGUUAAUACCCCGCUGUUCUGACGGUACCCAAAGAAUAAGCACCGGCUAACUUCGUG